CCUACGGGAGGCAGCAGUGGGGAAUAUUGGGCAAUGGGCAAAAGCCUGACCCAGCAAUGCCGCGUGAAUGAAGAAGGUCUUAGGAUUGUAAAAUUCUGUCCUAUGGGAAGAAACAAAUGACGGUACCAUAGGAGGAAGCCCCGGCUAACUACGUGCCAGCGGCCGCGGUAAUACGUAGGGGGCGAGCGUUGUCCGGAAUUACUGGGCGUAAAGGGAGCGUAGGCGGCACUACAAGUCUCAUGUGAAAUACCCGGGCUUAACUUGGGGGUGGAUGGGGAAAUUG
rnacentral:rRNA from 1 species